rnacentral:sRNA from 2 species
UUUUAUAAGGUGCUGAGUUCUUUAAGAAGCGGGGGAACCACUUUUUGGGGUGAAUCUAAUCGAUAUAGUAGGGGCAGCUACUCCUAACCCGACAGCUAACCUCGUAAGCAUAAAGCCACAAAACGU